ACCGGCAGCUCAAGUGGUGGCCAUUAUUAUUGGGCCUAAAGCGUUCGUAGCCGGUUUGAUAAGUCUCUGGUGAAAUCCCGCAGCUUAACUGCGGGAUUUACUGCAUCUACUAUCAGACUUGUGGUAGGGAGAGGGUAGGGGGAGUCCCAGGGUAGAGGUGAAAUCCACUAAAAGUGGGAGGAACACCUGUGGCGAAGGCGGCCAGCUGGAAAGGCACUGACGGUGAGUAACGAAAGCCAGGGGUGCGAACCG
rnacentral:rRNA from 1 species